rnacentral:lncRNA from 1 species
UUUAUUUUAUGUCAGACACUUUCUUCACCGCUUUGAACAACUCAAUUAGCUCCGACUCCAUUAAUGAUACCUAUAUGUUUUCCAAAAUCCCCAAAAGAUUUUGUCGAUAAAAAGCCAAUCUUUACAGCAGGAAUUAGAAUAAUGUAAAAAGAAUGGAUAUAAAUCUGCAAAUGGAAGAUCUAGAACGAAUUGAUGGGAGAUUACCAAUAUGGAAAUUGCAUAUCAGUCAAAUUCUGACAACUGGAUGAGGCCUGCCUGAACAUCUCUUUCUAAUCUAUUGCGAUUCAAGUCUGAGGGGUUAAUAGAUUGUGGGCUUUCUUUGUUCGAUUAGUAGGGGGCACGGAUUUUGUAUGUUCUGAAAUUGGGGGUUAUGAUCUAGAGUGGAGAAUGUGCUCGAGGUCUCUGGUUUGGAGUUUCAGAUCUUGAUGGAUGCAUGUGUUUGUGUUUUUUGGAUGAUGGAUUUGUUCGCCGAAAUCUGGGUUCGGUUUUGGAGUUUCAGAUCUUGACCGAUUUUGAUCUUUUUAGAUGGUUCAGUUCUGGGUUGCUGUUAUGUUGAUUUCUUUCUAUCUUAGCUCGGUUUUUUGUUUCUCUUUCUUGACUGGGAUUUGAUUAUGUUUAGCAUGGCCAGAUUUGGGGAUAAUGUUUGAUUUAAUUUUAUGUAUGCUUAUUAUUGUUCUCUGAUUUUGGCUAUGUAUGUCGGAGAUCUUGUUGUUAUCAUGGUGAUCUUGGUUGUUGCUUGUAGCUGUCCAUUAAUGGAAUCGAAGAACAAUACCUGAAAAUGGAAGAUAUAGAACGAAUUAAUGAGAGAAUUAAAUAAAAAAAUCAUGUCAUUUGUAAAGAAUUAAUAAAAAUUCAUUUGAUAUUAAUUACAAAAUAAUUAAAU